UGGCAAUGGUAGGGUAGUUUAGUAUGUAGAAAAAAAAAGAACGAAAUAUGUCCAAAUCUCAAAAUGGAUGCAGUUAUCUUCUUCUUUUGAGGGGGCAAAUGUAAAAAAAAUGUAUGGCUUCUGUUCUGAUAAUCUUUGCAAUUGAACUGUCACAGAGAAGCAGUCCUUUUACAGGGUGAAAUGUGAUUGGGACUUGUCUGGACUUGCUUGUCACAGAGAAGCAGUCCAUUUACAAGGUGAAAUGUGAUUGGGACUUGUAUGAACUUGCUUGUCACAGAGGAGCAGUUGAUUUACAAGGUGAAACGUGAUUGGGACUUGUGUGGACUUGCUUGACGUUGUACCAUAGAUCACAGGUGUGUUUCACUCCUGAGCUGCAGAUUGAAUUGCUCUUGCCCAAAGUUUGUUGGAUGCAUUUGUGUCACCUCCACAGUGAUUCUGUUGGCCAAGGACAGUAAUGAUAUUCCUUAUUCUAGAUGGGUAGGAUUCCCAGCUGUGGUGUUCUACCGUUCAUGUGGUGGAAGCAACAUUUUGAAAUAAAAAUAAUUUUAAUAA